rnacentral:rRNA from 1 species
UACGUAGGGGGCAAGCGUUGUUCGGAAUUACUGGGCGUAAAGGGCGUGCAGGCGGUCUGUUAAGUGCAGGGUGAAAGCUCCCGGCUCAACUGGGAGAGGUCCUUGCAUACUGGCGGACUUGAGGGGGGUAGAGGAAAGUGGAAUUCCCGGUGUAGUGGUGAUAUGCGUAGAUAUCGGGAGGAACACCUGUGGCGAAGGCGGCUUUCUGGGCCCUACCUGACGCUGAGACGCGAAAGCGUGGGGAGCGAACCGG